rnacentral:rRNA from 1 species
AGCGAACGCUGGCGGCAUGCCUAACACAUGCAAGUCGAGCGCUCCCAGCAAUGGGGGAGCGGCGGACGGGUGAGUAACGCGUAGGAACGUAUCCUGAGGUGGGGGAUAACCCUGGGAAACUAGGGCUAAUACCGCAUGAUGGCGAGAGCCCAAAGAUUUAUCGCCUUGGGAGCGGCCUGCGUCUGAUUAGCUUGUUGGUGGGGUAACGGCCUACCAAGGCGAUGAUCAGUAGCUGGUCUGAGAGGAUGAUCAGCCACACUGGGACUGAGACACGGCCCAGACUCCUACGGGAGGCAGCAGUGAGGAAUAUUGCACAAUGGGCGAAAGCCUGAUGCAGCGACGCCGCGUGGGUGAAGAAGGUUUUCGGAUCGUAAAACCCUUUUCUGUGUGACGAGAACGGACGGUAGCACAGGAAUAAGUCUCGGCUAACUACGUG